UUAAAAGCCGAUAACCGUUAAGCCAAACCGUUAAGAGUAAAAGCCGCCCAAUCCGCCCGAUGAACACCCCUAUAUAACAUAAAAUAUUCCCCCAGCCCUCAAAUACCAAAACACCCCUUGAAAUCCAUGUAUUUACAUCCAAAAUGAACCACUCAUGGGUCAAAUUGACCCAAGAUAUAUAAACCAACAUGAACAGACCUCUUUAACUGGGUCACAUAUGACCACACAACUUAUACAGAAGCCCAAUUAGCCAAAAUGAUCAAACAAAAUCAAAUUCUAACCCGGGCCAACCUAUGAUCUAAUUAAUAGAAAAGGAAGAAGAAGAAAAGAGCAGGGCCAAAGAUAGAAAAUAAGCAAUUUGAUCCAUAAGUGGACCAACCCAAAUAAAAAAAACUUAAUUAAUUUUGAAUAAUAACUUAAAACCUAUGGACUAAACCGAGUGAAACUGAUAAAAAUAAAUAAACACAAACAGGCAAACAGAGAAUAAGAACACAAUAUCAAGUCUAAUGCAAUCAUCCAAAACAAGAAAUUAAUAUGUAUUAUUUAAACGCUGAACCAAACAAUCCAACAGAAUAGGAAGAACAGAAAUGUACAUGCAAGCAUAAGGGAAAGGCAUGUACUAUAUUUCCCGAAAACAUUUGAGCGAUUCGACGAACGGUAUCAUUUGACAAAGUUUGCCGGUCUUUGGUCUUACAUGGAGCCCGGUGGUCUUUAAAAUGAAGUGAAGUUGAUGCUAAUCAAUUAUUCUUAGGCAGAACAUUUGAUUGGCAUGAGUAUAGAUUCAUUAUCAACCAAAAUCCACUUAAACUCUGAAAAGGGGAUAAAACUAGGGUUUUCGAAUUCAUUUGGCGUCAGAUUUGAGAUUUGGACGAACGGGUGGGGAUUUCGGGGAAACUUGUGAUGGAUUAUGAAAGAGUGGUGGGUGGUGAUUGUAUGGUGACAAUUUGGUUGAGUUUGAGUACCUGCCGCCACUGAUGAUUUUGAGAGGAUCAGAGGCAGCUCAGAUUAAGGUUUCUUCGGUGAGAUGAAAAUGGGGAAAUGGGGAGGGUUUGAUGGGUAUGGGGGGAUGGUGUUUCGGAUAUAUAUAUUUAGACGGUCAGUCCAGUUCACCCCAUUAGAUUUAAGAUGAUCAACGGCUGGGAUUGAAAUGGGGAAUACGUAGUCGUUUUGGUUACUAUGGGGACGACCGGAUAGCACAAUUUUGGGCUGGGGCGGAUUGGGUCAAAGAUUUUAGGCCCAAUUAAAACAACCCUUUUUUUCUAAUUCUCUUUUGCUCUUCUUUAUUUUUUUCAAUCGUUUUUCUUUUUCUUUUUAAUUAACUAAAAACCU
rnacentral:lncRNA from 1 species